rnacentral:rRNA from 1 species
UACAGAGGUCUCAAGCGUUGUUCGGAAUUACUGGGCGUAAAGCGUGCGCAGGCGGUUAUGUAAGACAGGUGUGAAAUCCCCGGGCUUAACCUGGGAACUGCAUUUGUGACUGCAUAGCUAGAGUACGGUAGAGGGGGAUGGAAUUCCGCGUGUAGCAGUGAAAUGCGUAGAUAUGCGGAGGAACACCGAUGGCGAAGGCAAUCCCCUGGACCUGUACUGACGCUCAUGCACGAAAGCGUGGGGAGCAAACAGG